UGAGGUAUAGGUAUCUAGUCCGAAUUCAUUGGAACAACACAAACACGAAGACAAGAAUUCAAACAAUAUUGACCGAUUGUUUUUCGGUCUAGUCGACCUCAAUUUGUCAUGAUGCUGUUAGAAAUUUCAAACACAAAACGAACAAUAAAUUAAUAACCAAGGUGAUGUCUUUUCAUUACAUUAUAUCCGAAGACAAAAAUAUUGGUCCUACUCUCUCAUAGCCAUACACGAUACACCCACCAAAAGAAAACAACAAGCAGCAAAUACUUUUCUCUAUGUACCUUUACAAACUACAUUUUUCUCUCUGGCAAUUGGCUGUCAG
rnacentral:lncRNA from 1 species